UAAUGGCCAGUUCCUCAGCUUGUUCUCUCUCUGACACUGCCAUGAUCCAGUCUACCACUUAAUGGGGGGUGUUGGGUCGUAGAAGGCGAGUCGUUCUUUCACCCGUCAGGAUAGCUCAUCAGAGGUCAUCUGGGGUGUCAGGAAACUGGCUGGGUCAUUGGUUGGAUUGGGUGAUCCAUCCUGAUCUAGGUUCACUAGAGCUGCAAUUAGUUCAGGUUUCUUUAGUCUCUCUGGCUCUUGUCCCUUUUCCGCCAUUAGUUCUUGUAGGGAGGCUACAGUUAAUUGCCUGUAGUUCUCUGCCAUCUUUGUCUCUGUUGGCUUUCCGCUGAAAUUCCUUGCUGAACUUGGUUUGUAUGGAGCAUCCCACUUCCA